rnacentral:rRNA from 1 species
UAUCACCUUACUAAUGUAAGGAGCUAACGCAGGGAACUGAAACAUCUUAGUACCUGCAGGAAAAGAAAAUAACAAUGAUUCCCCCAGUAGUGGCGAGCGAACGGGGAAGAGCCCAAACCAACAGUGUCACGGCAUUGUUGGGGUUGUAGGACCACGACGUUGCAAGAAAUUUCGUGAGAAGAACGGUCUGGAAAGGCCGGCCACAGCGGGUGACAGCCCCGUAUUCGAAGCGAGACGAAGCAUAGUGUAAUCCUGAGUAGCGCGGGACACGAGGAAUCCUGC